AUUGAACUCUGGCGGCAGGCCUAACACAUGCAAGUCGAACGAGUGGCGGACGGGUGAGUAAUGUCUGGGAAACUGCCUGAUGGAGGGGGAUAACUACUGGAAACGGUAGCUAAUACCGCAUACCCUCGGAUGUGCCCAGAUGGGAUUAGCUUGUAGGUGGGGUAAAGGCUCACCUAGGCGACGAUCCCUAGCUGGUCUGCGAGGAUGCCCAGCCACACUGGAACUGAGACAAGGGCCAGACUCCUACGGGAGGCAGCAGGGGGGAAUAUUGCACAAUGGGCGAAAGCCUGAUGCAGCCAUGCCGCGUGUAUGAAGAAGGCUUUCGGGUUGUAAAGUACUUUCAGCGAGGAGGCGUUACCCGCAGAAGAAGCACCGGCUAACUCCGUGCCAGCCGCCGCGGUAAUUC
rnacentral:rRNA from 1 species